CAUGCAAGUCGAACGGAGCUUAGAGAGCUUGCUUUUUAAGCUUAGUGGCGAACGGGUGAGUAACGCGUGAGUAACCUGCCCUAGAGUGGGGGACAACAGUUGGAAACGACUGCUAAUACCGCAUAAGCCCACGGUGCCGCAUGACACUGAGGGAAAAGGAUUUAUUCGCUUUAGGAUGGACUCGCGUCCAAUUAGCUAGUUGGUGAGGUAACGGCCCACCAAGGCGACGAUUGGUAGCCGGACUGAGAGGUUGAACGGCCACAUUGGGACUGAGACACGGCCCAGACUCCUACGGGAGGCAGCAGUGGGGGAUAUUGCACAAUGGGGGAAACCCUGAUGCAGCGACGCCGCGUGGAGGAAGAAGGUUUUCGGAUUGUAAACUCCUGUCGUUAGGGACGAUAAUGACGGUACCUAACAAGAAAGCACCGGCUAACUACGUGCCAGCAGCCGCGGUAAAACGUAGGGUGCAAGCGUUGUCCGGAAUUACUGGGUGUAAAGGGAGCGCAGGCGGGAAGACAAGUUGGAAGUGAAAACCAUGGGCUCAACCCAUGAAUUGCUUUCAAAACUGUUUUUCUUGAGUAGUGCAGAGGUAGAUGGAAUUCCCGGUGUAGCGGUGGAAUGCGUAGAUAUCGGGAGGAACACCAGUGGCGAAGGCGGUCUACUGGGCACCAACUGACGCUGAGGCUCGAAAGCAUGGGUAGCAAACAGGAUUAGAUACCCUGGUAGUCCAUGCCGUAAACGAUGAUUACUAGGUGUUGGGGGAUUGACCCCCUCAGUGCCGCAGUUAACACAAUAAGUAAUCCACCUGGGGAGUACGACCGCAAGGUUGAAACUCAAAGGAAUUGACGGGGG
rnacentral:rRNA from 1 species